CCUACGGGCGGCAGCAGUGGGGAAUAUUGCGCAAUGGGCGAAAGCCUGAUGCAGCGACGCCGCGUGAGGGAUGAAGGCCUUCGGAUUGUAAACCUCUGUCAGCAGGGAAGAACGGUCACUGUGCUAAUCAGCAGUGAAUUGCCGGUACCUGCACAGGAAGCACCGGCGAACUCCGUGCCAGAAGCCGGGGUAGUACGGAGGGUGCGAGCGUUAAUCGGAAUGACUGGGCGUAAAGCGCUCGUAGGCGGUAUUUCAAGUCAAGUGUGAAAUCCUCGGGCUCAACGUGGGAACUGCCUUUGAAACUGGCAAUCUGGAGUGGAGGAGAGGAGAGUGGAAUUCCUGGUGUAGGGGUGAAAUGCGUAGAGAUCAGGAGGAACAUCAGUGGCGAAGGCGACUAUCUGGCACAUAACUGACGCUGAGGAUCGAAAGCGUGGGUAGCAAACAGGAUUAGAUACCCUAGUAGUC
rnacentral:rRNA from 1 species